AAGGGACCUAGCGUAGUUCGGAAUUACUGGGCUUAAAGAGUUCGUAGGUGGUUGAAAAAGUUGGUGGUGAAAUCCCAGAGCUUAACUCUGGAACUGCCAUCAAAACUUUUCAGCUAGAGUAUGAUAGAGGAAAGCAGAAUUUCUAGUGUAGAGGUGAAAUUCGUAGAUAUUAGAAAGAAUACCAAUUGCGAAGGCAGCUUUCUGGAUCAUUACUGACACUGAGGAACCAAAGCAUGGGUAGCGAAGAGGAUUAGAUACCCUCGUAGUCCAUGCCGUAAACGAUGUGUGUUAGACGUUGGAAAUUUAUUUUCAGUGUCGCUGGGAAACCGAUAAACACACCGCCUGGGGAGUACGACCGCAAGGUUAAAACUCAAAUGAAUGGACGGGGACCCGCACAAGUAGUGGAGCAUGUGGUUUAAUUCGAAGAUACGCGCAGAACCUUACCAACACUUGACACGUUCGUCGCGACUCUAAGAGAUUAGAGUCUUCGGUUCGGCCGGACGAAACACAGGUGCUGCAUGGCUGUCGUCAGCUCGUGUCGUGAGAUGUUGGGUUAAGUCCCGCAACGAGCGCAACCCUCACUUUUAGUUGCCAUCAUUAAGUUGGGCACUCUGAAAGAACUGCCAGUGAUAAGCUGGAGGAAGGUGGGGAUGACGUCAAGUCCUCAUGGCCCUUACGUGUUGGGCUACACACGUGCUACAAUGGCAUCUACAACGGGAAGCAAAACGGCAACGUUAAGCAAAUCCCGAAAAGAUGCCUCAGUUCGGAUUGCACUCUGCAACUCGAGUGCAUGAAGCUGGAAUUACUAGUAAUCGUGGAUCAGCGUGCCACGGUGAAUGCGUUCCCGGGUCUUGUACACACCGCCCGUCACACCAUGGGAGUUGGUUCUACCUUAAGGCAAGGUUUUAAACCCUUGACCACGGUAUAGUCAGCGACUGGGGUGAAGUCGUAACAAGGUAGCCGUAGGGGAACCUGCGGCUGGAUUACCUCCUUUCUAAGGAUGAGUGAAAGUAAAAUUUCACUCUAAAUAAUAUACAUCGGUAAUGUUGACCGUCCUCAUUUCUCUUCUUAAAGUAAUGUUUCCUUCUUGUAGGGCCGGUAGCUCAGUUGGUUAGAGCACACCCUUGAUAAGGGUGGGGUCGAAAGUUCGAGUCUUUCUCGGCCCACCAAAAACCUAAAUGGGGGAUUAGCUCAUCUGGGAGAGCGCCUGAUUUGCAUUCAGGAGGUAGCAGGUUCGAUCCCUGUAUCCUCCACCAGGAAACAUUUAGUUAUUAAAACUGUAAAUAAAAAUAAUUUAUAUCAAUAUCUAUAUCCGAACAUUAAAAGUUAUUAUUUAAUGUUCAAAAUAAAAAUUUGAUCACAACAUAGAUAAAUUUUCUUUUAAAAGAAUUUUUUUCUGUGCAUAAAUCAAGCGUUUAAGGGCGUGUAGUGGAUGCCUUGGCACUGAAAGCCGAUGAAGGACGUGAUAUACUGCGAUAAGUUUCGGGGAGCUGUAUGUAAGCUUUGAUCCGAAAAUUU
rnacentral:sRNA from 1 species